rnacentral:lncRNA from 1 species
GCAAUUCUCCUGCCUCAGCCUCCCAAGUAGCUGGGAUUACAGAUCAUCUCUCUACUGACCUUUUAGUGGCUUAGCAUUUUGUUGCAAUGCACAAGUGAAGUUGGGAAACAGAGCCAAGUGACAAGCUGUGAAGUAACAGCUCAGCCUUCACAAAGCAAAUGUGCUUUGUGCACUUCCUUGCCAGAGCAGAUGUGGCCUUGGUGGACUGUGGGGAGCAUCAUCUCUCAGGUAAAAAUAAAUUACUAAGAUUAGGACCAAAUGAUGCAAAUCCUUUCAUUUGCAAACAGAUCAUGAACUGGCAGCCAUGUGGAAAGAAGACUAGACUGCGAAUCACUUAGGAUCCCACCCUCGGUUUAGUCUAGAAUACUCUGCGAAUCAGCUUUUUGGCCCUAGGAAAGAGACAAAUGGAAGCAAAAUAGCAAAAUGGUGAAGAGGAGGGUUCUAGAGGCAGAGAGCCCUGCAGUCCUGAGUCCUGAGUCCACCGUUUAACAGAGUGACUUUGCUCAGCCUGUGGAUUAUAAUGAAACUUGCCUGUUAUAGGAUCCAGUUUUUUAGGUGGUAGCAACAUGCUCAAGGAAGAUGCAGCCCCUUCCUCCAGCCUGAGAGAAUAAAGCAUCAUUGGCUUAUGCCAACCAUGGCAAUCCCAUUCCCCUUUUCUCAUGAUUGAUUUGGGAAUGGGCAAGUGACCCAGUUCUAACCAAUGAGACGAAAGAAAAAGUCUAUUGGUCAGCUUAUCUCAGAAGAUUUUUGUUUCCUGCUAUAAAGAGAAACAGUAAGUUCCUUCCUGCCUGACUUAAAUGCAAUUGUGUGCAAACAUGUUACUUGGAGCUACAGCAACGAUUCUGUGACCAUGAGGCAAUAAGCCAAGGACAAAGGAUAGAAUAGUGAAAAGACAGAGUAUUGGAUUUUUUUUAUGAUAUCAUUGAACUGCUGGACCAAUGUGGAACCAUCUACUUUUAGUCUUUCAUGAUUUGUGAGAUGAUUAAACAUUUCUUUUUUUUAGCCAUUAUUUCUUUUCUGUUACUUGCAACUGAAGACAUCCUACAUAAUACAAACACUAUCCAACUUGGAUUGUAAUUUAUCUAUUUUCAGAUCUGUGUGUUCUGUCUUACUGAUUUUUGUAUUCUUAGCACUGAGUAUAAGGCUGCUACUUAGUAAGACUUCAAUAAAUGACUGUUUAAAAAGG